rnacentral:lncRNA from 10 species
UGGAGCCCAAGGAGAGCAACGGCUGUAACAAGUGCACAGGUUUGAGUGCGCUGAGACAGGGGAACCGUGGGCAAAGAGGUCCCUCCAGAAAGAGCUGGGUGUGAGCAUGGGUUCGUGAGCUUGCCUGGAGCCCUGGCCUCAGCCCUCUCUCACUGAGGUGCCAUCUGGCUCGCAGAUGUGGCCCAUUCCCAGCCCCUCGUGUUUCUUGGAAAUGAGAAAGUCCAGGAAAGGGCACAGGGGCUUUCGCAACGACCGUGGCGAUGAUAGCUUUGACGUGUGGUCAUCCAGCCGGCCACUGCCCACACCCAAGAGAAAGCUGGAUUGAGCAUCAGGAGCCUGGGUUCAAGUCUGCCUCUCAAGCUGUUCCACAGGUGACCCUGGGCAAAUCGCACAGGCUCCUGGAACUUCAGAAAGGGGAAGAAUUAUUCCUGCCUCUGGCGACAUCAGCGAAUGUGCCUUGAGUUACGGGAGUGUUUUGAAGGCUGAAAGCUUUGUGUACACGGAAGGGGUCAAAGACAGCCACAAGCCUGUCCCUUUGGUCUUGGUCAUCAUGUUAACCCCAGGUUUCGAUUUAAUCCUACAUGCUCCUUUCUUAUGUGUGAGGCUGAGGUGGGGGCAUUGGUCAGAGGAGCCUCUGGGAAAUUUCCUUUCAGGACAGUUCUUUUGUUAAGGGGCCUGGGUGUGCUGAGAAGGGAAGGUGGCUCCUCCUGCUCUUGGAGCUUGGAGUUUCUCACAAGCUCUCCCUUAAAAGCCAGGCAGGCCAAGAAGGGAUAAUGGCUGCUCAGGGCCCAAGGGGCAGGAUCUCUGAGGCCCGGAAGAUCUCAGUAGGUUUAGCCCAAGAGUAUCCAGAAGUGGCCCAGGCCCAUUCUCCAUCCCUCAGAGCCUGGCAGCCUGGUCAGGACCCUCAAAGGCCAUGACCGUACCCGUAGGGCACCCUGGUGUCCUUCUGACAGGUGGGAUCUUUGUUUCUUACAGGCAAGGGCGCUAGCUGGUGGGAGCCACCCCGCCAUGCUGAUGUCAGAGAAGCAAGAACUCUGGAGAAGCAGCCUCCUGGGACCAGAGGAGGGCCAGCAGCAGGCAGCCCGGAGACAGAACUCUCACCCACGCCUCUCCAAGCCUCCCAACAGAAGACAGAGGUCCCCCACAGCCAGAGACAUUUCCUGAAGACAUGGGGAACACAGAGGCAGAAACAGCCCAUCCACCCAGGAGCUGUCCCCCACACUGCCGGGAGCCGGCACCCAGAGCCGCCAGGUAAAACUGAGGCCACCUGGUUCAACAUCACCUUUCACAGAAGGGGAAGCAGCCACAGAAAGAAGGGCCUCGUUAAGAAGUGGAACCUGGGACCCCCAAGCGGUGUCUCUCAUCCUGACUGGGGAUCCAGAGUAGGAGGGAGCCUUUGGUGGGACACAAAGGAACAGAACGAGGCACCAACAGCAAGGGGCAAGCAGAUUCAAGGGCCACAGAGGAGAUGGAGGCAAACACCUUCCCCUGGUCAGAGGCUGUGCCUCAGCCCUUCUCCCUGCAUCAGUUUCUCCUUCAGAAGCAUGGGACUACCUCCCAUCUAGUUCUCGUUUCUAAACCUAGGGGAGAUGCUAUCUUUGCUGCAAUAAUCUUAGCCUACAUCUUGGAAUGGAAAUGGCCUUGGUGGAAAUGGUCUUCAACUCCUCUGGUCCAAGCUCAGGCCCUGUGACCCUGGAACAAUCCCCUUCCUGGUCCUCCAUGUAGGAGCAAUAACAUUCCCUUGCCAGCAGCACCAGCCAUUCUGAUGAUUAAAUGGUAUCGGACUCUGUUUUCCAAACUCAGUCAUUCAGAUGCCCCCUAUUUUAUUUCUUCCAUGUCUGCAAAUGAUUAUAAUAUUUUUAAAUGUAGGAUGAGUCCUUUUUAUUACACAUAGAAAUAGCUACUGUAAAUAGCAAACUCUAACACUGUGCCUAAUUAGGAAAUAAAGGUAACCAUAAAUACAGUAAAAAUGAAACAAUGUUAUUAUGGUUUAACCUGAUAGUGUGGCUUGCAAGGCCCUGGGCCUGAAGCCUGGGCAAUAAGUGAGAGUUAGAAAGGUGUCAAAGACAUGAUAGCAGCAAACUGAGGCUUUGUACCCCACGGUAAAUAGGACUGAAAGCAAAUUCACAGGGAGCAACUGAUCCAUUCCACAACAGAAUGCUCCCUGUCAAUUCGCUUUCCAUUCUGUUGUGUCCUGUCUCCCAGCAGAGACUACAAACUCCCCAAAACCACUUACCCACCAGCUGCACGUGAGAAGCCAAAGGUAGUUUAUGUGAAAGGGCUUUGGAAAUAAUCACGCACCAAGUGAAGGCAGAGGACACACCUUGUCAGCUUAGUUCUCAGCAGCAAAUCAUCUCUUUUCCAGGAUAACCCUCCCUGAUUCUUAUUGAAAUCUCUUUGCUGACCACACUAAGCUCUUCUCUCUCAGGGGCAGUGGGAGCCGUGGAGAGUGGAAUAGACCAGCUGUCUGUGACCUGCGAGGGAGUCCAAUGUCGGAAUCACUCCCCAGCCAAAUGCACGGUUUUAAAAAAUCUAUUUAUUUAUUUAUGUAGAGACCAGGCUAUGAGACUGGCUAAUUUUUCGUAUUUUUGGAUAGAGACAGGAUUUCAUCGUGUUGCCCAGGCUGGUCUUGAACUCCUGGGCUCAAGCGAUCCACCUGCCUCGGCUUCCCAAAGUGCUCAGGAUUACAGGCGUGAGCCACUGUGCCCAGCCACCAAAUGCAGUUGAAAAGAGUUUCUGCAAGAUAAUUCCACAGAAGAGGAAAGCAGUUAUCUGGCUGGGAAUACCUUAGACAGAGGCUGUCCUCUACACAGGCUGUCAGAACUGACCUACUGACCUGCCUGCUGGCAUGAUAGACCAGAGGGAAACACUCUUUCCACUCUUCCCAGACUGAGUGUAAGAGACAGACUUUUUUUUUUUUUUUUGAGACGGAGUCUCACUCUGUCACCCAGGCUGGAGUGCAAUGGCAAGAUCUCGGCUCACUGCAACCUCCACCUCCCCGGGUUCAAACCAUUCUCCUGCCUCAGCCUCCCAGGUAGCUGGGAUUACAGGCUCCCGCCACCACGCCUGGCUAAUUUUUGUAUUUUUAGUAGAGACAGGGUUUCACCAUGUUGGCCGGGCUGGUCUCGAACUCCCAACCUCAGGUGAUCCGCCUACCUUGGCCUCCCAAAGGGUUGGGAUUACAGGUGUAAGCCACUGCUCCCAGCCUUUUUUUUUUUUUUUAUUAGAGACAAGGGCUCCCCAUGUUGCCCAGGCUGAUCUUGAACUCUAGGCUCAAGCGAUCCUCCUGCCUGAGCCUCCCAAAGUGCUAGGAUUACAGGCAUGAGCACUGCUCCCAGCUCUGUUUUUGUUUUUUUAAGGAGGUAUAUUUUUUCUGUUCUCUCUCAGCCCUGAAGAAAGGCUACCCAUCCCCUUCAGACAUUCCUGAAAAUAUAUGUCAUCCAACAUCAAGGCCACCACAGUGACCACUAAGCAAUGCAAGAAGGUCCUCUGGGGUGCCCUGAGAUCUUGGCAGGGCAGGAAGAGUGAGAAGGGGCUUUGCCUGCUCACCUGAAAGUUCCCACCCAAGCCGGGCCCAGAAAACAAAAUGAAUUAUCUACAUGGUCAUCCAAUCAGCCACCAAAUGGCAUUACCUAGGUCCAUCAUCAUGUACCAAGCCACAGGUCAGACCCAGGGCCCCCCAAAUUAACAAGACACAGGCACUGUCCUCAGGAAGUGGAGAUCUAGCCAGGUCAGACCCACACACAAAUAACACUGAUACUAGAGAUAAUGAGAUUGGGAAUUAUGAUUCAGCCAUUCAACCUGGGCUUAUGUGGCAUCUACACCACCUGGCCCUGAUUUCAGUAGUGAGCACAGUUGACAGGGUCCCUUCCCUUCACAGGUGAGCCAUGUAGUCCACAAGUGGAGGUGGUCGUAAGUGAAAACCACAUUACCAGCAUGGUAAAGGGUUAGAAAGAGGGCACCGGGUGGGCGAGAACAUGAAGCAGGGGGUGCUGAUGGCUAAAGAAGUAAAGGAGGGGCUGGGCACUGUGGUUCAUGCCUAUAAUCCCAGCACUUUGGGAGACCAAGGCGGGUGGAUCACCUGAGGUCAGGAGUUCUAGACCAGCCUGGGCAACGUGGUGAAACCCUGUCUCUACUAAAAAUACAAAAAUUAGCCAGGCAUGGUGGUGCACGCCUGUAGUCCCAGCUACUUGGGAGGCUGGGGCAUGAGAAUUGCUUUAACCCGGAAGGUGGAGUUUGCAGUGAGCCGAGAUCGUGUCACUGCACUCCAGCCUGGGCGACAGAGGGAGACUCUGUCUCAAAAAAAAAAAAAAGUCAAGGAGGGUUUCCCAGAGUGGCCACUUGAUUAGAGACCUAGCACAGGAGGAAGAGAUGGGCAGGGAGAGUGACGGGGAGCAGCACAGUCCCUGGGAGCCCGAAGUGGGUGGGCACAGGGCUCCCUAGGAGAAUGGAAGGACAUCUAUGAGCUGUAGCCCAAGAGGAAGAGGUCACUGGGGCUAGAUGCGGCAGACCCUCGCAGGCUUUGGGAAGGGCUUCAGAAUUCAGCCUGAGGGCAAUGGGGAGCCCUUUUGGGAUAUUAAACUUGAGUAAGAUAUGAGCAUAUUUGCAUCUUGAAAAAUCAUUAUGGGAAGAUGGCUGGGAAGAGAGGAGGAGUGGCAGAAGAAAGAUAGGUUGGAGACAAUUGAUUGCUCGAUGAUAUAAAAUGUUAAGUACCAUGAAUGAUGCUGUUAGGCUGGAAUGCGCCAAGCAUAAAGGUGGGGCAUGGCAUCAAAAGGUAGGUCAACAUAUUAAAUAAUUCCAUGUAUUGAAAUAUCCAGAAAAUAUAUAGACAGAUCUAUAGAGAUAGAAACUGGUCUGCCCAGGACUAGGGGUUGUCUAAGGAUAAGGAGCUUCUUUUUUGGAUGGUGAAAUAACCUAAAAUAUAUUGUGCCAUUGUUUGCACAACUUUGUGAAUAUAUUAAAAACCUGUUAAUUGUACUCACUAAAUGUCCUCCUUCUAAAUUAAGCUGUUCUUGACAAGAAAAGGAAAGAAACAAAGAAAAGAAGAGAAAAAAGGUCAAGGUUUGGUCCUGGGUGCUCAAAUGGCAGGCCACAGACAGGAAACACAGUUGUGAGGAAUUACAACAGCCUCCCGGCCAGAGCUGGAGAGGUGGAGCCCAGGUCCCCUCUAACACCCCUUCUCCUGGCCAGGUUGGAGUCCCGCCACAGGCCACCAGAGCGGAGCAGCGCAGCGCCCUGUCUCCCAGCCUGAGGUGCAGUGCUGCAUCUCUGGUCAGUUGGGAGUCUGAGAUGAAGCACUGUAGCUCAGGAAGAGAGAAGUUGUUCUGCAGCCAUCAGCCUGGAAGUGGUAAGUGCUGGGGGGUUGUGGGGGGCCAUAACAGGAAGGACAGAGUGUUUCCAGACUCCAUACUAUCAGCCACUUGUGAUGCUGGGGAAGUUCCUCUACACAAGUUCCCCUGGUGCCACGAUCUGCUUCACGAGUCUGGGCAUGUCCUGACUCCUCUGUGUACCCCAGUGUGUCCAUCUUAGCAUGAGGCGUUAGCAUUUCCCCAGCACCCUGCCUCUGCUUUCUCUUUCUGAGCCCAUGGCAGACACAGCUAAUCAGUAAAGGCAUAUAUUCUUUUUUUUUUGAGACACAGUCUCACUCCAUCACCCAGGCUGGAGUGCAGUGGCAUAAUCUCAGCUCACUGCAACCUCCUCCUCCCAGGGUCAAGCAAUUCUCGUGCCUCAGCCUCCCAAGUAGCUGAGAUUACAGGUGUGCGCCACCACACCUGGCUAAUUUUUGUAUUUUUAGUAGAGAUGGGGUUUCACUAUGUUGGCCAGGCUGGUCUCAAACUCCUGACUUCAGGUGAUCUGCCCGCCUCGGCCUCCCAAAGUGCUGGGAUUACAGGCAUGAGCCUCCACGCCCCGCCAGGCAUCCAUUCUUGAAGUGCUCAGAUGCAGCUUCAGAAUCCUCAACAAUGAGCCCUGGAAAGCCACUAGUACUGAUUCACAGCUGAAACUCAUUCAUCAUUUGUGGAUCAAACAAUUCCUAAAAACCCUUUCAGCCCUGAAGAUAAAAAUUCUGGCCUUUGAGUCAGGGUCUUCACUCUGUACUUCUAACCUUGGCUCCGGGGUAUUGCCGAAACCAGUCCAGGCACGUCACAAAUGUCUGACUUCUCCCAGAGGCUUCAGAAGCACAAUGAGCAGCAGAGGAGAGCCAUGGAGCCAAGCACAGUCUCAUUUAACCUCCCCAAAAGCUUGGGAAGUGGGUGGUGUUAUAGCCCCAUUUUACAGAUGAGAAAAACUGAGGCUUAUUUAAGCAGCUCACCUAAAGUCACAUAUUGAUUGUGCUGAGCUGAGAUUGUACCCUAAUCUGCCUUCAAAUCCAUGUUUUUACCCAUUGCAUGUGAUUAUGGAACCUGGGACCGAGGAGCAGGAGGAGAACAUUCUAAAUUCUGCUCCCAUCUUGUCUUUACAUCUCAGGUCACUUUUAGCAAAGACAGACCCGGACACUUGCCAUUAAUACUACAGGCUUCCUUCCUCCUACCCCCUUCCCCCAAUCUUAUUCAUCUCACCUCUCCAGUAGGUCGUGGACUCAUGCAUUUUAUAAUUAAAGAAGGCCAAGGCUCAGGGGUUAAGUGACUUACUGGAGGUUAUCAGAGAGGAAGUUGCCAAACCCAGGCUAGGAACUGAAUGGUUGGUUUAAAUCCACCCCUCUGGCAGGAGACUGGGGAAUACACAUGAGCCGUGCAGACAGCAGAGGGCAGUCCUGGGGGUGGGGGCGCCAGAGGGUUUCCGGUACUUUUCAGGGCAAUUGAAGUUCCGGUCACUACUCCCCCCCAGAGCAAUAAGCCACAUCCGGCGACGUGUGGCACCCCACCCUGGCUGCUACAGAUGGGGCUGGAUGCAGAAGAGAACUCCAGCUGGUCCUUAGGGACACGGCGGCCUUGGCGCUGAAGGCCACUCGCUCCCACCUUGUCCUCACGGUCCAGUUUUCCCAGGAAUCCCUUAGAUGCUAAGAUGGGGAUUCCUGGAAAUACUGUUCUUGAGGUCAUGGUUUCACAGCUGGAUUUGCCUCCUUCCCACCCCACAGUUGCCCCCCAAUGGGGCCUCGGCUGGCUCACAGGAUGAGGGUUCAAGAAGAAGGCUGUCCCUGGAGGUAAGAGGGCUUAUGAACCAUGUUCCAAACCUUUGCGUUGCUUUUCUUUCCAUCGUGUCUAUUUCAUAACAUCCCUGUGAGGCUGGAUGUGGGAACUUCAGCACUGCCGUACUCUUGGGAAAUUUGUCCAAGGCCACCCGGCUGAGCAGCGGUUGAACCAGGACACCAUCAGGCAUGCGUUUCUUGUCUCCACCACACCCUCAACCCACUUCCCAACGCGCCUUGCGACAGGGGCUGCGGUAUUGCAUCCACAUGACUGAUAAACUAGUAAACACACAUGAAUUCAUUUUAAAAGUGUAUUCAAUCAGUUAGGUAAACUAAAAACCUUAAGUCUUCGUUCGAUUUGGAAUGCAGCCAGAGAACAAAUGGAAAAUUUUUCAAGGUAGAGAAGAUGAAAACUCAGAACGCCCUCUUGUGGCAUCUCUACCCACCCUAGGAACACUAUGGCUCUUCCCCUACACAUGGUGAUUGCUAACCUUGCUACAAGACGUUGGACACACACACACACACACACACACACACACACACACUGAGGUUCCUUUUGCCCCCUCACUUUUGAGCCAGUGACUACUGAAACCCUCUCCAUUGUUGCACCACCAGCAAUGCCCCCAUCACUUCCUCUCAUUUACUUCCACAGGCUGGUUCAUCCUCAAAGCCCUCCUUACGUAGAUCUGUGGGAUCAGUGAGGCUCAGAGAGGUAAAGUGGCCAGCCCAAGGUCGCCCAGACAGCAAAAGGCAGGGCCAGCGCUGAUUUCAAGUCCAAUGGCCUAUGGCAAUUUCUUAGCCAAAAGCAAAAUCUACAAAAAUAAAAAGUCAGGCACAGUGGUGAGUGCCUACAGUCCCAGCUACUGAGGAGGCCGACGGGGGAGGACCACUUGAGCUUGGGAGUUCCUGGCUGCAGAGAGCUAUGAUUGUGCCUGUGAAUAGCCAAUGCACUCCAGCCUGAGCAAGAUAGGGAGACCCUGUCUCUAAAAAAUACCUAAAUAAUUUUAAAAGUCAGCCUCUCUGACUGCCUAUAGAGAAUGCUAACUAACUGAAUGACAGAAGACCUAAUGUAAUCCAGGUGCAAAAUCAGAACUUUCCGGCCGGGCGCGGUGGCUCACACCUGUAAUCCCAACACUUUGGGAGGCCCAGGCGGGUGGAUCACGAGGUCAGGAGUUCAAGACCGGCCUGCCCAACAUGGCAAAACCCCGUCUCUACUAAAAAUACAAAAAAUUAGCUGGGCAUGGUGGUGGCCACCUAUAAUCUCAGCUACUCAGGAGGCUGAGGCAGGAGAAUUGCUUGGACCCGGGAGGCAGAGGUUGCAGUGAGCUGAGAUCGCGCCACUGCACUCCAGCGUGGGGGACAAAAGCGAAACUCUGUCUCAAAAAAAAAAAAAUUAGAACUUUCCCCGUACUCUUGCUAGGGCUUUUCAUGGAGAUGUAGAAAUGGUAGUAAGUGCCAAGGCCCCAGAACCCUCAUGUUUGGGUCCGACUCCCACAUUGCCAGAGACUAGGCAGCUCACACAGGUGUCCCAAGCUGUCUUUCUCACAGGCCGCAUUGAAGGCAUUUAUGAAAUGAGACCCCCUCUUCCUCAUCCGUAGUGACAGGGCUGGCCUGACCGUGGAGAAAUCAGAUUUGAUCAUGAUAGCUUCCACUCCGUGACUGGUCACGAUCUGCCAGGCGCUGUGCUAAACACUUUCAUAGGCCUUGUCCCCCUCCAUCCUGAUAACACCCCAGUGAAGCAGGCCCUGCUCUUCACUCCACUCCACAAAGCCAAGGCUGAGAGAGGUUAACAGACUUACCUAAGGUCACACAGCUAAGAAGUCGUGAAGCUGGGAUCGAAUCAAGUCUGUGUUUAUGGGUUUAACUAUCAUGUUGUGGCCCCAACCCCAUUUGACCUAGCCUGGCUGGUGGGCCUUCUUGCAGUAGCUUCCCCUGGAGAAGAGGAAAAGCAAACCUUCAUUGAGACCCAAGCGGUCUCUCCUGUGCUCUGUGACAAUAAUAAAGUUCCAGCCCUUGGCUCCUGUCCUGUUUCUUUCUGGGAAUUUGGGGAAGGGGGGAGGUGGCGAAGGCAGGGAAAGAACCUGACAGGCCCAGCUGAACACCCCCAAGUGGCUCCACACAGCCACUUUGG